GAUUUCGGAAGGACUGGUGCAGUUUGCUCAAGAUCCAAAGUUCAUUGAGGUCACAACCCAGGAGCUCGCAGACGCCUGUGACAUGACGAUAGAAGAGAUGGAAAAUGCAGCAGACAACAUUCUCAAUGAAGUGCCUCACUGUUCUCGUGACCUGGAGUAACCGGAACAGCGUUCUUCAUUCAUUUCUGUUGGGACGAGUCGCAGAGUUGGGUGGUGUAAGAAAGCUUUUC